AAAACUUUUAACAACGGAUCUCUUGGUUCUGGCAUCGAUGAAGAACGCAGCGAAAUGCGAUAAGUAAUGUGAAUUGCAGAAUUCAGUGAAUCAUCGAAUCUUUGAACGCACAUUGCGCCCGCCAGCAUUCUGGCGGGCAUGCCUGUUCGAGCGUCAUCU
rnacentral:rRNA from 1 species